rnacentral:misc_RNA from 1 species
UCGCAACUAUUUCUUCAACUCUUGCUUAAUUUGCUCUAGGAGUACUAUUCAUAUAUUUGAUUAAACUCUCAAUUUAGAUUCAUUUAACGAUACACGCUAUUCAAGGGAAGUAAGAUUUUUGUUCAGAUUGUCCAUGUGAUUAAUGACUGGAAAAUAUGUUAAAAUAUCUGUUUAAGCAAUCAAAUUUUUGAUAUUUAGAGUCGAGUGACUAUUUACGCUCCCAAGACUCCAGCGGUCAACGGUUGAGGCGUCACUACAUUUUUUCCUGUACAAUUUUGUUAUAGUUAAGUGGAAUGUGCGUCUUUCCUCGGAAAAGUAAUUUUGAUAAGGAAAUUGAACGGAAAGAAGGAACCAGACUAAAAAUGGAGCAUACCAUAUUAUUUAAAGGACCAAUGAUCCAUUCCGUUGAACGGGACCAUGUGACUGUAAUGGAAAGAGGUGCCAUUAUUGUCCAAAAAGGCAAGAUACUGGCAGUCGAGAAUAUUCACACGGAGUCUGAGAUGAUGGAAAUAGAAGCGAAGUACAGCCCAAAUGAAGUUGUGGUUUUGGAAAAAGGUCAAUUUUUAAUCCCAGGCUUGAUUGACACACACACCCAUGCACCACAGUUUCCGAACAAGGGGCUUGGCUAUGAUAAGACCUUAUUGGAAUGGUUGAAUGUUUACACCUUCCCUCUGGAGAGCAAGUAUGAGGAUGAAAACAUCGCUCUCAAGGUGUAUACGGAAGUUGUGAUAUCUACUCUGGCAUGUGGGACGACAAGUGCCGUGUACUUUGCCACAACACACUACAACUCUAGCUUUAAGCUUGCAGAGAUUGCUUUUAGUAAGCAACAAAGGGCAUGGAUUGGCAGAGUCAACAUGGACAGCAACUGUCCCCCAAAUCUAAUUGAGGAUACAGAGGUGUCAGUGAUAGACACAAUGUCGUUUAUCGACGCUGUUCAGGCUUUAAAUAGUGACCUUGUGAAGCCUAUUAUAACUCCACGAUUUGCUAUCACAAGUUCUGCAUCACUCCUCAAUCAGCUGGGAUUCAUAGCAGAACAAUACAAUCUGCACAUCCAGACUCAUCUCUGUGAGACAAAGGAAGAGAUUGAAGAAGUGGCGCAGAUGUUUCCGAAUUCCCCAACCUACACCUCUGUGUAUAAGGAAGCCAAAUUAUUGACUAGAAAGGACAAUUUUUCAACUAGGACUGAGAAAGUUUUCUUUAAGUAUGGAACAGUACUCUCUUUUACACUUCGACACAUUUGUCCACAACAUGUUUUCUUGUUUUCUUACUUUGACCACUUCACUCCAAGUCCCUUGAAUGCCACCUCCCCUCCAGAAUUUUUGGAAAUGCUGUUGGCUGUUACUGCCCAUACCCACUGGUAUCUUCCAUUGGCCAUUUACUUGUUUACAGACUAUACUGGCUCAUUGCGUCCACCUACAGGACAGUGAAAUGGAAAUGAUCAAGGAUGCAAGAUGCAGCAUUGCACAUUGUCCCUCCUCUAAUAUCAAUCUGCGCAGUGGAGUAUGCAAUGUUAGAAGACUUUUGGAUAAGGGUAUCAACGUAUGUCUAGGCACAGAUGUAGCGGGAGGAAACAGUUCAUCUAUCCUGGACGAAAUGCGAGCAGCCUUGAAUACCUCCAUUACUUUGUCAUUUCAGCAUGAAGACUACAUACCUCUCUCAUACCAUGAGGUCUUCUAUAUGGCAACUAUGG